rnacentral:pre_miRNA from 1 species
GUUUCGUAGUGCACUUGAUCUUGUUGUCAACAUCUGAAUUUACUUUCAGAUGAAUUCAGAUGUUGACAACAAGAUCAAGUGCACUACGAAAC